CCCGCACAAGCGGUGAGUAUGUGGUUAAUUCGAUGCAACGCGAAGAACCUUACCUGGUCUUGACAUCCCGGAGACCCUUAGGAAACUAGGGGGUGCUUCCAUCUGGAAGAAUCUGGAGACAGGUGCUGCAUGGCUGUCGUCAGCUCGUGUCGUGAGAUGUUGGGUUAAGUCCCGCAACGAGCGCAACCCUUGCCUUUAGUUGCCAGCAGUUCGGCUGGGCACUCUAAAGGGACUGCCGGUGUUAAACCGGAGGAAGGUGGGGAUGACGUCAAGUCCUCAUGGCCUUUAUGACCAGGGCUACACACGUACUACAAUGGCCGAUACAAAGGGCAGCGACACUGCGAGGUGAAGCCAAUCCCGUAAAAUCGGUCUCAGUCCGGAUUGGAGUCUGCAACUCGACUCCAUGAAGUUGGAAUCGCUAGUAAUCGUGGAUCAGCAUGCCACGGUGAAUACGUUCCCGGGCCUU
rnacentral:rRNA from 1 species